GAGCUCACACCAGUGACGUACAGUGAAUAAAGUUAGUAGCUUAAAGCGCAGACGAGACCGAUGAAUGAGAAGGCACAGCAUGCAGGGUCACAGAGAAAACAAAGGGGAAAAAAGAAAUUUCAAGCAAGGUUGGGGUUUAUUAAAAAUAAUUUUAUUAAUAUAGAUUUGAGUAUGGGCAUUAAGGGGGAGGAGGAGAGAGACAGAGGCUAUUCCAGGCAGACAGACACAACAAAAGCACAGUGGUACACAUACCCAGGGCAGCAUGAGCUUCAGAGAGGAUGGCCUAAAUUAUUUGAGGGCUCUGUAAUGAGACAGAUCCACUUCUAAGUGCCCCAAGUCAUGACAGACGAUUAGAAAAAGGAAAAACAUAAAGAAAUAAUAGCUGAAAAUGUCAAUGAAAGCGUCUUGGAUGUACAGAAACAGGAAAUCCAGCCACUUCCACCCAGAAGAAACAGAAAGAAAACUACAUCACAGUACAUCAUCAAACUUCUUGACACUAGCAAUAAGGAGAAAAUAUUGCAAGUGACCAAAGGCUGAGUGUGGUGAUGUGUGCCCUCCAACCCAAGUCUUGGCAGAUAUAUAGGGACAGAUGACAUCAGGUGUCUUGUUAGAAGUAAUGCAAAGCAGAAGGCCAUAGACAGUAUCUUUAAAGUACUAGGAGGUAAACUGUUGAUAGACUAGAGGAAAUUUAAAUACAAAAAGAAAAACUAGCAGAUCUGUGCCCAAAUAAUAUUAAAGAACAUAUUCAGACUAGUCUUUCAAAUAUUUUAUUAAUUUUUUUAUAUGUUUGAGUGUCUACAUGUUUGUGCACCACAUGCAUGUAGUAAACAGGGAGGCCAGAAGAGGGCGUAAGAUCCUCUGGAACUGGAGUUACAAAUGAUUGUGAACCACUUACCAUGUGGGCACUAAGAUCUCAACUCUUUGCAAGAACAGCAAAUACUCUUAACCACUGAGCCUCCUCUCCAGCCCCAGGUGAGGUGUGUGUGUGUGUAUGGUGCGUGCGUGCAUGUGUGUGUGAGUGUGUGAGUGUGUGUUAUGGCAGUUUCCCUAGCACUCAGUGCCAUUUAGAAACCCUCAUCACGCCAAGCCCCUUCUUUUUCCAUCUCCUGCAACUUUAUGUCUGUGCUUUUGUCUGCUCUGAAUGUCUUACAUGAAUUAAACAAUACAUUAAUAAUAUAUGUGACUGUCUGUCUCCUUUCAUUUGGUAGAUUUUCAAGGCUCACCCAUGUUGUAAUAAUGGAUGGGUACUCAAUUCCUUUUUAUGGAUGAAUAAUGUUCUGCUGUGUGGUGUACUAGUCUCUCAGGGUUGCUUUAACAAGAUCACAGGCUGCGUGGCAUACACAAUAGACACUUAUUUUCUCACAGUUCUGGGGUCCAAGAUCAAGCUGCCAUCAGGGCUGGGCUCUCUUAUGGCUUCUUUCUGGCUUGCAGAUGGCCACCUGCUUGCUGUGUUCUCAUUCGGCCUCUUCUCUGUGCAUGUGUGGAAAGAGAAAGAGAUCUCUGGUGUCUCUUCAUUUUCUUAUAAGGACACCAGCCUACUGACUUAUGGUGCUGCUAUCCCACGGCCUCACUUAGCCUCAAGUACCUCACUAGAUACCCUAAAAGCACACUGAGGGCUAGAGUGUCAACAGGGGACCUUUAGAGGGCACACAAUUUACCCUAUAACACAUGCAUAUGUAACACUGUGUUUCUCCAUUAGCUGAUGGACACCUGAGUUUCCACUUUAGGUCUUUUUCUGACAGUGCCUCUAUGAACACACAUGUGGAGGUUCUUGUGUAAACAGGGUUCUCAGUCCCCUUGGUAAUAUACUUUGUAGAGGAAUUCCUAGGUUAUAUGGUAAUUUAACGUUUUAGGAACUUUCCACAAUGGCUGUAUAUCUUUAAUUUCCACCAGCAAUUCAAGAGGGCUCCAUUUUUGCAAUUCUUUCCCCAUUUUGUUUAUUCUUAAAAGAUUCACAUUUUAGUAAAAGUCAUCUCUUACCUACCCCACCCCCCACAUACAUGCACACAUAUACGCACGCACACACACUCGCGAGCACACACACACCCUAGCGAGGACAAUGAGGCAUUUCACUGUGUUUUUUAUCUGCAUUCCCCUAAUGAUUAAUUGAUCUACACCAUCUUUUCAUAUGACUUCUGACCAUUUUUAGAUCUUUGGUGAAAUAUCUGUUGAAGGCAUUUGCCCAGUUUUAUAAACUGGGUUGUGUCCUUUUUAAAAAUUAAGUUGCAGUUCUUUCUCUCCUCUGGAUACCAGCUCCUAAUCAGGUAUAUUAUUAUAAUUAUACAUAUGUAUUAUAAUCAUAUAUCGUAUGUGGUUUGUCUUUCACCAUCUUAAUGUUUGUGGACAUACAUGUGCCACCGCUCAAGUGUGGAAGUCAAAGGACACCGUGCUAGAUUUGUUUCUCUCCUUUAUAUAGCUUCCAAGGACUGACCUCCGGUUGUCAGGCCUGAUGGGCAAGCGCCCUUAGCCACUGAGUGUUCCAUGGCCUGCUUAUCCACUUUUGAGUUAGCUUUUGUAAAUAAUGGGGUGUGAGGGUCCAAGGUGACUUUUUUUUCUGUAUGGGAUCCACUUGCUCCAGCUGCAUUUAUCGGGAAGGCGUCACCUGCACUGACUAAUCUCCGGAGGCAGCCCUGUUAAAAUCCUUCAGAGUAGGUGUUGGGGUUUGUUUGUUUUUACCACAUGGAUAUAUCUGUCCCCUGGUAGUCUUUUUUUUCUCUCUCUCUCUUCCUUUGCUAGUCUUAAUAAAAGACGUAUUUUAAGUAUUUUAAAAUUCAAAAAGUGAGUUCCUGACUUUGUUCUUUCUCACUACUGUUUUGGCGGUGGAGGGUCUGAGCAGCUCCAGAGGACGUCAGCAGCUGCUUGCCUAUUUCCCCAAACACGCCGCUGGACUGGUUCUGCAUCUGAGAGCCAAGCACUCUCUCAGCAUCUGUCUGUUCACACUCCCAGCUCCGCUCAGGCGUUGGAGUUUUGAUAGGGACCACACUAGACCUACAGAUCUACUUGGAAGUACUGUCACCUCAACAGUGUGACGUCUUCCAACCCAUGGACACGGGCGAUCUUUCCCACGCUGCUUUAGGUUUUGGUCUUCUGUAAUUUCAUAUGGUGUCCGUGUACAAUGUGCAUGAAGUGCCUGUGGAGUUCAGUAGCGGGCAUGAGACUCCUCCUGAAACUGAUGUUAUAAAUAAAUGAAUUGCUUAACUCUGUUUUUGACUGGCUGUCUUUGAAAAAUAAACUUGCCAUGAAAAUCAGUCACAAGGAUUUGUAUACAAUCCUUGUAUACACAGAAAUAGAAGAGGACCCUUUCUUAGUUUAGCCUCCACAGGAAAACAUAGCAUUGGCCACUAUCUUGACCUCAGUCUUGUGAGAUCCUAAGCAAAGGACUCAUUAAGUUGUUCUAGUCUUUCUAAUCCACAAAUGUGUAAGAUAAUAUUAUGUGUUAUUUAAAACUGUGAGGUCUGAAAUAGUUUGAGUGGUAAAGAGAAACAUAAUUUGUAACAAAAUAUUUAUAUAUCUUACCAUAUAACCCAGUCAUUCUAGUAUUAGUCAUUUACCUAGAGAAACAGAAAAAUGUACCCCUAAAUUCUUGUACAUUAUAGUGUUUGUACCAGCUAAAGUGGAAAGCAAUUCAAAUGCCCAUCAAAAGGUAAAUUGAUAAACUGUGGCUUCAUGAAAUAACACCCAGCAAUAAAAGGAAUUACAGAUGCACAAAGCAAGGUAGCUAAAUCUCAAAUCCUUAUGCUGAAAUGGAAGAACCUAACAGAGGAGUCAUCUAAUUUCUGUCACUGCAAAUUAGUCAGCUUUUGUAGAUGUCUGUGAGAAUGGAGUUAUGUGGUGUGUCCUCUGUAUUCGUUAGGGUGUUACUGCUGUGAAGAGACACCAUGGCCACAGCAACUCUAACAGAGGAGAACAUUUAACUGGUGCUGUCUUACAGUUCACAGGUUUAUUACCAUCAUGGUGGGAAACAUGGCAGUGCGCAGGCAAGCAUAGUGCUGAAGAAGGAGCUGAGAGUUCUCCAUCUGGAUUGGCAGACAACAGGAAGAGGCCUGGCUUUAAGCAUUUGAAACUCCAAAGACCACCCCCAAUGAUACAUUUCCUCUAACAAUGCCACAUGUACUCCAACAAGGCCACAAGUCCUAAUCCUUUCAACUAAUGCCACUUCCUCUGAGCCUCUGGGGGCCAUUUUCAUCCAAACCACCAUAUAUUCUGUCUGGCUUCUCUCAGCAGAAGCAUUUUUUUGGGAACAUAUACAACAUAUAAUGACAGAAACAGGGGCUUAUAAAGGACAUGAACUUUUGGGAGUGAUGGAUGGUCACUGUACUGACUGUGGUGAGGGCUUCACAGGUAUAUACUACAUAGAACAGAACUUCCCAAACUUUCCACUUCAUGUACGUGAGGUGUCACGUGUGUUAACUACUCUUCACUCAGACAGUCUGAGAAGCACGCACUACUUACAUGGCCUCCUCACAGAUGUGUCGGAGGAGAAAGUACAAACUCUGAUGACCACAGAUGAGGCCUCAUUACUCCUCUACCCACGCUCAAAUAUUUACUAAGUUCUUUGCUAGUCUCUGUGAGAAACACCAACUUUAAUCAGACUUAUUUGAUAUAAAAAAAAAAAAACUUAUCUGGUCUCUACCUAGUUUCUGGCACAUAGUUCCUAAAACCCUUGGAGUCUUCAAUGCAAUAGUAUCUUCCUAUGUUCUGAAAAUAUGGAUGGUGGUUGGGAGAGUUUGAAGAGUUUCAGGUUAGUGACAAGGGAGAGAGUUAAUUGACAGUGGGAACCAACCGUGUGUUCAGGUUUGGAGCUUUUAGCCCUAUUCCCCUGACCUGUGAAGGUUGAACUGAUCAAUGGCCAAUUAUUUAGUCAGUCAUGUUUACAUAAUGAGGAUUGUAAAAACCCAAAUAAAGGCCUUCCAGACUA